rnacentral:rRNA from 1 species
GACGAACGCUGGCGGCGUGCCUAAUACAUGCAAGUCGAGCGGACGGAUGGGAGCUUGCUCCCAGACCGUCAGCGGCGGACGGGUGAGUAACACGUGGGCAACCUGCCUGUAAGACUGGGAUAACUCCGGGAAACCGGGGCUAAUACCGGAUAACUCUUUCCCUCACAUGAGGGAAAGCUGAAAGAUGGCAUCUCGCUAUCACUUACAGAUGGGCCCGCGGCGCAUUAGCUAGUUGGUGAGGUAACGGCUCACCAAGGCGACGAUGCGUAGCCGACCUGAGAGGGUGAUCGGCCACACUGUGACUGAGACACGGCCCAGACUCCUACGGGAGGCAGCAGUAGGGAAUCUUCCGCAAUGGACGAAAGUCUGACGGAGCAACGCCGCGUGAGUGAUGAAGGUUUUCGGAUCGUAAAACUCUGUUGUCAGGGAAGAACAAGUACCGGAGUACCUGCCGGUACCUUGACGGUACCUGACCAGAAAGCCACGGCUAACUACGUG